rnacentral:tRNA from 1 species
GCCUCAAUAGCUCAGUAGGUAGAGCGCGGGUUUUGUAAACCUGAGGUCGAGGGUUCAAUUCCCUCUUGAGGCU